UGUUAUUUCCAAGCACACUAGGGAUGGGUAGAAAAGGUUUGUCUCAAUAGGGCUUCAAGAUAAGACAGCCAACGACGUAGGUCAGAAUAUACUCAAAGAUUAAAUCCAAGGAGCUCAGCAUCAAAGAACUUAAAGAAUAGAAAUCACACAGAAAUUAUUUUUGCAAUGUGUAAUUGGUGCAGGAACUGAUUCUGAGGUGCACAAAGAGCACUGUUUGUGUAAAACCAACCCAGCCUUUUUAUCCACCUUCCGGUUACUCUGUGAGGGUAGCUUCUAUUCAACUCUGUGUGGUAAAGAGUUCCCUUCCAAAUGAGAAGGUCUGCCAAGGUCUGCUAUAAAACCCGAUUUUCAUAUUACAAAAAGCAAGAGACCAGUCAGGGUGGCGAUUUAAUUCUGUAAUAAAAUUUGAUUUUGUAUCAACUUCCUAACAGAACUAUGUGUGUGUGAUUAGACAUACAGUUGGAGACAGACAGACAGACACAUGACAAUCUUGAUAAAUCAUUCCCUCUAUGCUAGAAAAUGGAGCUAAUCAAACUGGGGCAAAAUUUUUAAAAAUAGCUGUCAUCCAGGACAUCACUUCUCAUGCCUGGUAAAGCUGCCCUGUUGUUUCUUUUUGGUCUCCUUUCUUGCUACAGACUUAACGCUCAGAGAUUUAACAGGCAGUCAUUUGAAUACUGAGCCUGCCAAGAGCUAGAGAGAUUUUUUUUUUCCUUUGGCCUCACUUCCUGAUUAAUGUUAACUGCGUCACUUGAAGCGGAGCCAUGUUGGAGUCAGCGUGGAAAGCAGAUUUGUAAAGGCGGCCUCUAAUUUGUUCCCCUCUUGCUUUUGGAAGCUCAGCUGCCCCACCACACUGUAGCUCGACACCUAAUAUUUUUACUAACAAAGGCUCAUGGUAUAGCACACAGCGCUAUGGAAACAGACAUUUCCUGACUCUCACAGACCUGCAUUCCAUCUCUGGGGACCCCUGACAACAACACCACAGCAGAAGAUUCUUUGUGUGGGGGAUGCUUACUGCCACUACCCUAUCAUGAUUCUACAAGAGUGCUGUGAAGGAUUCCAACGUAUAGAGUCCUCUGCUCAUCUGGAUGGUGGCUGUGAUCUCCCUUCUCUAGGAAAGACCCCAGCUGUGUGAACACAUGGAGCUGUAAUCCAGGUAGAGAGGAUGCCCAGCCUGCCCAAAGAGAGGAGUUGCUGCUGGGCCCCCACUAGGCCAGAAGAUGGUUGUAUGGGUGAUCUCUGAUCCUGCCACCCCAAGGAGAGUCAAAGGGUUCCCUUUAGGAUGUGUCUAGUGCCCCAAUUUUCCUAAUCUGAACCUAGAGUGAUUCUGUAUUUCCACCUGAGCAAGUGAGGGCAGAUUUUGGCCCUCAAGGCCAAAUUCAUCUCUAGUGUAACUCUUCUGACUUCAUCUCAACUUGGCUUCAGUGACUUACACCAGGGAUGAAUUUGAUCCAACAAGCCAAGUUCUAGUCUCAUUUCCCAUACCCUAGUGUAAAUCUGCAGGAAUUCGAUUAAUGUUAGUUAGGAAAAUGUAGACGUAAGAAUUUAGAAAAAAAUGCUUAGCUUACUGGAAAAACGAAUUGUUGUCAAUUAUCAUCUAAUCUAUAAAGGUAUUAAUUCCAAAAUAUGCACAAACAUAAAUUUCUUCAGGUUUCUGUAAAGAAUUAUGUGUUCUCUCCUUUCCUGUCCUUUGCCCCCACACCGUCAAGAGUGUGAUAUUUUGGUAGACAGGCUGAACAAUAUAUUUAUGUGAAACUCUACAUUGGGCAUAGCUCCCUUAUCAUUGCCAAGUAGUCUUUGGACUCUUGAUAAAAUAAUGAGCCUCUCCCAGUUUAGCAGAACACUCCUAUGACUCUACAAAAGGUAUUUACAGAUAGAGGUGGGGGGUCGGUAGAAGAUCCUGUUUGCAGAUGCUUCCUUUCUGAACAUGUGUAAAGCCUUAGCAAUGUAUCCAGCUUUCCCACAUUUUCAAUCCUAAACUCCUAAAGGCAACAAACUUCAACACUGUAUAAAAACUAAAGCAUUUAAUGCAAGUUACAGUCUUUGCCUUUUGCAAACUGUAGCUCAAAGAUAUUAAUAGGGUUUCUGGGAAACUGCCCACCAACUUAUUAUAUAUCAUUUAAAAAUUGAUUUCAGAGUUAUGCAACAAAACUUGCAGAAAUUUCUUCACAUGAAAAGAGACAUGUAGAACCUAGAUAUCACUCUUUGUAUCAUGUCUAGAUCACCAGAUAUUGCCAAGAAAGGUGAACCAAAAUUUUGUCCUACCAUCCCCCUGUCCUUUUAUAUCUGUUUAGUUUUGAAGAAAACAAAAAAUUGCAUUUACUUUAUAAACAAAGUAUUUUAAGUUUAAUAUGCACUUAUGCAUAAUCUGCUAAUGACAGCAGAACAUUGCCUACAUGUAAUAGAGGCAAAAGAUUUUUGGGUAAUGAUAUGGAUUUGUUGUUCAAAGCACAGGGGUUUAUUAUAAAAGGUAAUUUCAACAUAGAACACAAACUUUGUUUUAAAUUUAAGAUUACUUCAAAAUCAUAAGAGUUCAGUAAGGGCUAGGGUUCCUAUCCUGAAUUUCUUGCACUCUGAAAUCAGGAGCAGAUUUAGGUGUUGAAAAAAUGCAGGAUUAGAAUAUAGGACAGUAUUAUUGUUGUUUAUGGUAUUUUAAGAUGGCAAAGAGGUAGCUAAUAUGAAUGUGGUAGCCUUUAGCAAUAAUACAGAACUUCACAUUUUCAAGGGUUUUAAAAGCAUUGGGCUUUUUAAAAUCACAUAAUCUCUAUGGAAAUCAGUGGGGCUUCCACAUAAGGAGCAGGCCCAUAACUAAUCCUCACAACAGCAGGCAAUAAUAAAUAAAUAAGUAUUAUUACCCUUAUUUUACAGAUGUGAAACUAAAGCAAAGAAGUUAGUGGGCCAAAGUUACAACUCAGGAGGUCUUGGCUCUCAGGCCUGAGCUCAAUCCAUUAGAUCACAGGUGCCAACAUAAUAUCAGCUGUUGAUAUUCAGUGACUGUCAAGUUAAGCACUGAGAUUCUCUUCACCGGACUGAGUAAAGACAAUCAAGUCCAAUAAAAUUUCUUGGCCCCUUUUUCACUUCAGGUACACCAUAUUACUUUCAUUUGCUAAUGCUUUUUUUCUUGAAAAUGGGAAUAUGAAAAGUCAGAGCUGCAUAGGCUAAAUAGUUUCAUUUUGAAUAAACUGCAAAACCACUGAAGUUUGGUUUAGCAGACUGGAAAAGGUCCUGCCCCCCCCCGACAUGUUCACCAACAGCAUUUGCCUGAUGAGAAUGUGUUUCUGAUUAUUCUUGAUCCAAGCUUUUGUUGUCGCUAUAAAGGUUUAUAAUUCCAAAUAGGAGCACAAUAAAAAUAUUAGUAAAUUCACCAUAUUAGCCUUGUCUUGGUUUUCAGUGUUAAAACAUACUAAUAAAAAAGUUAUUUCCCUUAUUUUACAAAUAUUAUAUAAAAAUAUACAUUCUUAGUGAGUUUGUGUGUUUUUGUAUUUGCCUUACUUAUAUAUGGGCUGAUUCAAAGGCCUGCAUCUGAAUCCCAAUACAGAUGUGAAUGUUACUUUGAACUUUACUGUUACUAUUAUAAUUUAUGUAUAUUGUGACAGUGCUUAGAGACUUUAGUCAGGAUCAGAGCCCUGUUGAAUUAGACUGUCACACAAAGGGGUGAUAGUAAGUCUAGGGACUUACCGGUAUGGGGCUGGGCUGGGGCUGGCUCUGGCCCCCGGAAGGGGCGGGGCCUCAGACGGAAGGGGCAGAGCUGGGGGGUGAGAACCAGCCCUGGCCCACCCUGUACCAGUAAAUGCCUCCUUCCCCCUCUCCUUCCCCCGCUGGGGUAACAGUGGCAGCCGAGGGCUCUGGCAGCGGUUUAAAGGGCCCUGGGCGGUAGCAGCAGCCGGAACCCUGGGCCCUUUAAAUCGUCCCUGGAGCCCCACCGCCGCUUCUCCAGGUCUCUGGCAGCAAUUUAAAGGGCCGGGGGCUCCAGCUGCUGCUGGGAGCCGCAGGCCCUUUAAAUUGCACCUGGGGAAGACAAUCCACCCCGGUACGGCGCACUGGCUCUUGCCGGUAUGCCAUACCGGGACGUACCAGCUUACUUUCACCUCUGGUCACACAUAGAAGACAUGGUCUCUGCCCAGAAGAGCUUACAAACUGUAUAGUGGCUAAAACAAAUUCCGAAUUCCAUCUUCCCAAACUUUGUGAAAGUUCAGAACUGAUGUGAAUCUUGAACUCCCAAGUUAAAGAACAUGCAGGUCUUGAGUUUUGGUUUUGGUCCACUGACAAAAAUUACACAUCAUAUAAGAGAAAUUAAAGCUAUUAAGACAAAUCCUGAUUCUCUUAUACAUGCCACUGUUUUCAGUGGGACUGCUCAUGUGAGUACAGUGAGCAAUAUUUGGGCCAAAAAAUCAAACUUCCAGACAAAGUAGGUUUAUCUCUUUCAGAAGUUUCAAAAUGAAUGGAGAAGUUUGCACGAUGGGCCUGAUUAUUCCCUCAUUUACACCGGUGUAAAUUGGAAGUAAUUCCACUAAAGUCAAUGGAGUAACAUUGGUGUGAUAGAGUAGUAAAUCAGACCCAUCAACUCACUUUUUUGUGCAUUUGUUCAAACUUUAUCACUUUAAUUUGGUUACGGUGUAGCAUAUUUAUACACUACCUGAAAAAACAGUCAAAUGCAAUACAAAAUAAAACUAAAACUAAAUAAAUAUACAGCAUAAAGGAUGUAACAUAGCCUUUAUCUUGCUAAGAACUAAGUAACGUUUAAACAUUUUCUGCAUGGGGAAUAAAGAUAAAAAAUGAAGGUAAAGCUUUUCUGAUAGAGGAUGGGGGGAGAAAAAUGAGAAGUGAGUAAGAUGCUGUUGCCAAGAGUAAUGCCUGAAACACCAGAAGAGCUGACAAAGCUGUUUGAGUACUGUGGUCCCUGACAGAAUUAAAUUGUAGCGGGAUACUUUUUUUACCCAAAGCCAAGAAGCAGAAGAGGAAUAGAUAUUUAGGCUACAGAGCUGAGAACUCUGACAUCCACAUGUAACUCUAGAGACAUUAAAGAUUCCCUAAAUAAAGACAGGAUUUUUUUUGUGGGACAUAUAAUUCCAACUUGUGGGGGAGAUUCUUGAGAGACACAGAGCUAACCUUAGAGAAAUGCCUCUAAAUAGCAAGGGCAAUUGAACUGCCAGGGAAAGGAUCAAAAUAACAUCAGCGGAAGAAGUACGGAA